GUGGAUUAGAUACCCUGGUAGUCCACGCCCUAGACCAUGUCAACUGGGUGUUCGGGAAGCGAUUCCUGAGUACCGUAGCUAACGCGUGAAGUUGACCGCCUGGGGAGUACGGCCGCAAGGUUAAAACUCAAAGGAAUUGACGGGGACCCGCACAAGCGGUGGAUGAUGUGGAUUAAUUCGAUGCAACGCAAACAACCUUACCUACCCUUGACAUGUCUGGAAGCCCGGUGAGAGCUGGGUGUGCCCGAAAGGGAACCGGAACACAGGUGCUGCACGGUCGUCGUCAGCU
rnacentral:rRNA from 1 species